AUACGGAGGAUGCGAGCGUUGUUCGGAAUUAUUGGGCGUAAAGAGCAUGUAGGCGGUCUGUUAAGUCUGGUGUGAAAGCCCGGGGCUCAACCCCGGAAGUGCAUUGGAUACUGGCAGACUUGAGUAUGGGAGAGGAAAGCGGAAUUCCGAGUGUAGGAGUGAAAUCCGUAGAUAUUCGGAGGAACACCAGUGGCGAAGGCGGCUUUCUGGACCAAUACUGACGCUGAGAUGCGAAAGCGUGGGGAGCGAACAGGAUUAGAAACCCUAGUAGUCC
rnacentral:rRNA from 1 species